UGUAAUUGUCACAAAAUAAACUAUGUGCCCACUGCAAAAAGUCAUUCCAACAAUAUAUGGGAUGUAAACUCAAAAUUAGGUGCAGCAAUGAUAUUCUGUGGUAUUGGGGAGAGUGUUGUCAACAAUUUAUUGGCUGCAUUGAACCUUCCUAGCUAAACCCCAACCACCCUAAAGAGAAGGGAACGAGAGGCAGGAUCUGCAUUUGAAGCAGUUGCCAGUAAAACGUGUAGUGAUGCAAUUGCGGCUGAAAGUAGAAGCUGUCAAAGUCAAGAUGACCAGGCUGUUUCCUUUGAUGCUGGCUGGUAAACCAGGGGAAGUGGUAGGAACUAUGCUAGCUUAUCUGGU